rnacentral:rRNA from 1 species
AGAACGAACGCUGGCGGCAUGCCUAAUACAUGCAAGUCGAACGAACUCUUCGGAGUUAGUGGCGCACGGGUGCGUAACGCGUGGGAAUCUGCCCCUUGGUUCGGAAUAACAGUUGGAAACGACUGCUAAUACCGGAUGAUGACGAAAGUCCAAAGAUUUAUCGCCAAGGGAUGAGCCCGCGUAGGAUUAGCUAGUUGGUGAGGUAAAGGCUCACCAAGGCAACGAUCCUUAGCUGGUCUGAGAGGAUGAUCAGCCACACUGGGACUAAGACACGGCCCAGACUCCUACGGGAGCAGCAGUAGGGAAUAUGGAACAAUGGGACGAAAGCCUAGAUACCAAGGACAAUGGCCGACGUGAGGUGAGUGAAGGCCUUAGGGUUAGUAAAGUCUACGUUUUACCCGAGAUGAUAAUGAACAGUAAGUCGGGAAGAAAGUAACGACCCCGG